UUAUCCUCGCACAGAAAGAAGCAUUAUGUUAUGUUUGCCUUGUUUAAAUGGUAAGGUAGCCGAAAACGUAGCAUUUGAUAGGUAUAAUUUGUUCUAGACCU
rnacentral:lncRNA from 1 species